GUUAUUGCUGUUGUCUUUGCAUGGAACAAUUUAUGGCAAGGGAAGAUUUCGCAGCUUCCAGGGAAGUACCAAAAGGAUGCUCUUCCCACGCUGCUUUAUGGAUUUAGAUUCUGGAUCCCAGUCAGUGCAUUGAAUUUUUGGGUGGUCCCACUUCAAGCUCGUGUAGCUUUCAUGUCCAUCGGGUCUAUAUUUUGGAACUUCUGCUUAUCAUCAACAAUGAGCAAAUAGAUUCAUCUGCUUGGGUUUAUCAAUUUGGUAUUAGCAAUGUCUACUUUUUAACAUGAAGUGUAUUUUUAUAUCCAUUUCAUUCUACUGGCUCUGAGCUUAAUUAGUUUUGGUGAACUUUCAUAAAGAUACCAUUCAUUACACUUGCCAUCAUAUAUGAAUCUCUUUAGUUAUUU
rnacentral:misc_RNA from 1 species